CAGAGCGAACGUUAGCGGCGGGCCUAACACAUGCAAGUCGAACGCGAAAGGUCUUCGGACUGAGUAGAGUGGCGCACGGGUGAGUAACACGUAGGUAAUCUACCCUUUGGCGGGGGAUAACGUUCCGAAAGGAGCGCUAAUACCGCAUAAGACCACGGAGUCUCCGGACGCUGUGGGAAAAGGUGGCCUCUUCUUGAAAGCUACCACCGAAGGAUGAGCCUGCGUCCCAUCAGCUAGUUGGUAAGGUAAUGGCUUACCAAGGCGAAGACGGGUAGCNGGUUUGAGAGAAUGAUCAGCCACACUGGCACUGGAACACGGGCCAGACUCCUACGGGAGGCAGCAGUGAGGAAUAUUGGGCAAUGGGCGAAAGCCUGACCCAGCCACGCCGCGUGAGUGAUGAAGGCCCUCGGGUCGUAAAGCUCUGUGGAGAGGGACGAAAACCCUGGUUUCAAAUAGGCUCCAGGCUUGACGGUACCUCUUUAGCAAGCACCGGCUAACUCUGUG
rnacentral:rRNA from 1 species